ACUGUUACCACAAUGUUUUUUUUUUUUUUUUUUUUUUUAGUUAGAACUGUGGUUUAUUUCUCUUCAGGUGCACUUCAGAAACCCUUCAUUAGAUUGUUAGUAAAGAUGAUUGUGAUUUUUGAGCUCUGUCCAAAUAUCUCUCUAAAAUCAUUUACAAAGACACCUUUUUAAAAACAUCCCAUUUAAUAAUCACAUGACUCAAGUUACAUCACCAGUAUGUGACAUGUGGUAUUUUUUAUAUUUAGAGGACCUGUACCUUCAACAAACAAACUUUGCUUUAAAGUUUGCAAAUAAUAUAAACUGACACCCUGUAAUUCUGAUAAAUUAUCUCCACUGUUUUAACACUAACCACCACUAAACAAAGUACUUCAACAGCCAUUAAACCUGUGAGUGACUGAGUUUGUAAAUCAAAAAGGCCUUAUUUUUACUCCACCUUGAAUGUCCUCAAAUGUUAAUCAUUCCUUUACAAAAUCAAGUCAAGUGUAAAAUUAAUAUGUUGGAUUCAAAAGACAUUAAAAAAUAUAGCUGGGAUUCAUUUUCAAAGUUUGUGAUCAGUAUCUCAUAGUGGUGGCUCCUAAAGGUAAGCAGAAAUCAAAAAACACAGAGAAUUCAACAAAGGCAGCAACAUUUUUCAAGAUUACUUUGAUUAUGUUGGGGUUUUUUUUCAACAUGGUUACUAUUUGUUUAAGAAUUAUGUAUAUUUUUAUUAACAUUCUAUUUUAUUAUCUUUUCAAAAGCUUUAACUCUAAUGUCCACUUCUGAAUCCACAACACACAGUAAAACUGACCUCCAAUCCAAGACAAACAGCAUGACAAAGGAAUCCAUGCCAGCCUCUACUCUGCCUGAUUCCACCAGAGAGACAGAAACAUCUGUUCCUCACACUCUUCACACUGAAG